rnacentral:rRNA from 1 species
GUCGAACGAUGACGUCACUGCUUGCAGUGACUGAUUAGUGGCGAACGGGUGAGUAACACGUGAGGAACUUGCCCAUGAGCGGGGGACAACAUUCGGAAACGGAUGCUAAUACCCCAUAGGUGGAUUGGUCGCAUGACGAAUUCAUUAAAGGUGGCUUUGCUACCACUCAUGGAUAGCCUCGCGGCGUAUUAGCUAGUUGGUAAGGUAAUGGCUUACCAAGGCAGUGAUACGUAGCCGACUUGAGAGGGUGAUCGGCCACACUGGGACUGAGACACGGCCCAGACUCCUACGGGAGGCAGCAGUAGGGAAUCUUCCACAAUGGGUGCAAACCUGAUGGAGCAAUGCCGCGUGAGUGAAGAAGGUCUUCGGAUCGUAAAGCUCUGUUGUUAGAGAAGAACACGUGCUAGGUAACUACUAGCGCCUUGACGGUAUCUAACCAGAAAGUCACGGCUAACUACGUGCCAGCAGCCGCGGUAAUACGUAGGUGACAAGCGUUGUCCGGAUUUAUUGGGCGUAAAGGGAGCGCAGGCGGUCUGUUUAGUCUAAUGUGAAAGCCCACGGCUUAACCGUGGAACGGCAUUGGAAACUGACAGACUUGAAUGUAGAAGAGGAAAAUGGAAUUCCAAGUGUAGCGGUGGAAUGCGUAGAUAUUUGGAGGAACACCAGUGGCGAAGGCGAUUUUCUGGUCUAACAUUGACGCUGAGGCUCGAAAGCGUGGGGAGC